rnacentral:piRNA from 1 species
UGAAGAUAGGUGACUCAAAUGACAUCUGUGC